CAAUAGCGUAUAUUUAAGUUGUUGCAGUUAAAAAGCUCGUAGUUGGAUUUCGGGUGGGACGCAGCGGUCUCGCAUUGCGUUUGUACUGCUGCAGCCCUCCUUCUUGCCGGGGGCGGCCUCUCGGACUUCACUGUCUGGGGGUCAGGAUCGGCGAUGUUACUUUGAGUAAAUUAGAGUGUUCAAAGCAAGCUUACGCUCUGAAUAUAAUAGCAUGGGAUAACACGACAGGACUCUGGCCUAUCGUGUUGGUCUAUAGGACCAGAGUAAUGAUUAAGAGGGACAGUCGGGGGCAUUCGUAUUCCGUUGUCAGAGGUGAAAUUCUUGGAUUUACGGAAGACGAACAUCUGCGAAAGCAUUUGCCAAGGAUGUUUUCAUUGA
rnacentral:rRNA from 1 species